GAUGAACGCUGGCGGCGUGUUUAACGCAUGCAAGUCGAACGAUGAAGCUAGAGCUUGCUCUGGUGAAUUAGUGGCGAACGGGUGAGUAACACGUGAGUAACCUGCCCCGAACUCUGGGAUAACUGCUGGAAACGGUAGCUAAUACUGGAUACGACCUACGAAGGCAUCUUCUGUAGGUGGAAAGAAUUUCGGUUCGGGAUGGACUCGCGGCCUAUCAGCUUGUUGGUGAGGUAGUGGCUCACCAAGGCGACGACGGGUAGCCGGCCUGAGAGGGUGACCAGCCAGACUGGGACUGAGACACGGCCCAGACUCCUACGGGAGGCAGCAGUAGGGAAUUUUCCACAAUGGACGAAAGUCUGAUGGAGCAACGCCGCGUGCAGGAUGAAGGCCUUCGGGUUGUAAACUGCUUUUAUUUGUGACGAUUAUGACGGUAGCAGAUGAAUAAGGAUCGGCUAACUCCGUGCCAGCCGCCGCAGUAA
rnacentral:rRNA from 1 species